AAAUUGAAGAGUUUGAUCAUGGCUCAGAUUGAACGCUGGCGGCAGGCCUAACACAUGCAAGUCGAACGGUAGCACAGAGAGCUUGCUCUCGGGUGACGAGUGGCGGACGGGUGAGUAAUGUCUGGGAAACUGCCUGAUGGAGGGGGAUAACUACUGGAAACGGUAGCUAAUACCGCAUAACGUCGCAAGACCAAAGAGGGGGACCUUCGGGCCUCUUGCCAUCAGAUGUGCCCAGAUGGGAUUAGCUAGUAGGUGGGGUAACGGCUCACCUAGGCGACGAUCCCUAGCUGGUCUGAGAGGAUGACCAGCCACACUGGAACUGAGACACGGUCCAGACUCCUACGGGAGGCAGCAGUGGGGAAUAUUGCACAAUGGGCGCAAGCCUGAUGCAGCCAUGCCGCGUGUAUGAAGAAGGCCUUCGGGUUGUAAAGUACUUUCAGCGGGGAGGAAGGUGUUGUGGUUAAUAACCGCAGCAAUUGACGUUACCCGCAGAAGAAGCACCGGCUAACUCCGUGCCAGCAGCCGCGGUAAUACGGAGGGUGCAAGCGUUAAUCGGAAUUACUGGGCGUAAAGCGCACGCAGGCGGUCUGUCAAGUCGGAUGUGAAAUCCCCGGGCUCAACCUGGGAACUGCAUUCGAAACUGGCAGGCUAGAGUCUUGUAGAGGGGGGUAGAAUUCCAGGUGUAGCGGUGAAAUGCGUAGAGAUCUGGAGGAAUACCGGUGGCGAAGGCGGCCCCCUGGACAAAGACUGACGCUCAGGUGCGAAAGCGUGGGGAGCAAACAGGAUUAGAUACCCUGGUAGUCCACGCCGUAAACGAUGUCGACUUGGAGGUUGUGCCCUUGAGGCGUGGCUUCCGGAGCUAACGCGUUAAGUCGACCGCCUGGGGAGUACGGCCGCAAGGUUAAAACUCAAAUGAAUUGACGGGGGCCCGCACAAGCGGUGGAGCAUGUGGUUUAAUUCGAUGCAACGCGAAGAACCUUACCUACUCUUGACAUCCAGAGAACUUUCCAGAGAUGGAUUGGUGCCUUCGGGAACUCUGAGACAGGUGCUGCAUGGCUGUCGUCAGCUCGUGUUGUGAAAUGUUGGGUUAAGUCCCGCAACGAGCGCAACCCUUAUCCUUUGUUGCCAGCGGUCCGGCCGGGAACUCAAAGGAGACUGCCAGUGAUAAACUGGAGGAAGGUGGGGAUGACGUCAAGUCAUCAUGGCCCUUACGAGUAGGGCUACACACGUGCUACAAUGGCGCAUACAAAGAGAAGCGACCUCGCGAGAGCAAGCGGACCUCAUAAAGUGCGUCGUAGUCCGGAUUGGAGUCUGCAACUCGACUCCAUGAAGUCGGAAUCGCUAGUAAUCGUAGAUCAGAAUGCUACGGUGAAUACGUUCCCGGGCCUUGUACACACCGCCCGUCACACCAUGGGAGUGGGUUGCAAAAGAAGUAGGUAGCUUAACCUUCGGGAGGGCGCUUACCACUUUGUGAUUCAUGACUGGGGUGAAGUCGUAACAAGGUAACCGUAGGGGAACCUGCGGUUGGAUCACCUCCUUA
rnacentral:rRNA from 1 species